rnacentral:rRNA from 6 species
CGGCAGUAGCGCGGUGGUCCCACCUGACCCCAUGCCGAACUCAGAAGUGAAACGCCGUAGCGCCGAUGGUAGUGUGGGGUCUCCCCAUGCGAGAGUAGGGAACUGCCAGAC